CCAGUGACCGACAAGCUAGAGACUGUGGGCUCCUUCGGGUGGGCGGGUCUAAGCAGCGCCUGGGUUGACAUUGUUGUUAUUGUAAGUAACUAAGAAAUCACUUUGGCUCCUUUUUAGUCGCGGGAUUAAAGCUUCUUUUCUGUGGGAUUUCUGCGGCGUCAGUAAUAAAGUGGCUUCGAAGGGGUGAACGUUGCGAUUUGAGAUCUGAAAAGUGGCUGCAGAGGAGAUGAAAAUGAGAACACCGAGGCCGCUCAAGAAGCUUCAGCUGAAGGUUCCCUGAGGUCACAUGCUUGGUUUGCCGUCAGCAGCUCUGCUAUAACCCCAGAGUGGAUGGAAUGUUUCCAAAACACUGAAGAAACGCAGGUCUGUCGGGUAGGAUCCUGCUACAAAGAAACUUUAUGCCUCCAAGUUCAAGGCUGUCGGGUUACCCGCUGGUGAGAGUGACUGGAAACAUUUGCUGAGAGACGGCAUUUUGGCACUGAGGAACUUCCCCGAAAUAGGCAGGUCCUGGUCAAUCGGGAAGGGCCUGGAGGAUCCUAGGACAGGAGAAUGUAAGCCUGUCACUUUCUGCAAAUGCGUUCCUCAAUAGUUACUGACAUUUCUGGUCAUCUGUCUCCAGGAGUUAAUGGAGCGCUGUGGCUGAUUUCUUCUCUGCUUCAUUCCCUGUGUGCUACUUUCGCACUUGGACCAUAAAUUAGGCUGCAGUAACCAUCCUACCAAGCAGCAUAGCAUCUCGUGGUGAAUGAGGAUUAAAUAAAAAGAUCAGCUCACAACAACUAAGUUGUUGCUUCUUCACACGUUGAGCAGUUGUGAGCACAUGUGUGCUCAGUCUUGACAGACUGAGUGGACCUUGAUGGCACGUGGAGUUGCGUGGAUUGCUCCCAGGCUGCAAUCAAAGCAGGUUGGGCUGUUAAUCCCCUAUAAACAAAUUUUAAUUCUUAAGUAGGAAGAUUACCAGGUGUAAUAAAUUACACUGAGUUUUUUGCAUUGUUUUGCUUGUCAUUAGCUAUUCGCAACUAUAAAUGUUUUUAUGAGUAUGUAGGGAAAAAAAAGAACCAGAAUUCCAUCAAAUCCAGGCUGCUACACACUUUAUGCGCAUUUUGUUGGGGUUUUAUCCCUUGUUCGGUUGUCCUUGGGGACGUUCAGGCUUCUGCAGCCCUUCCUCAAAAGUGAAUGGGUCUCGAUGGGACCCCUCUCUCACAUGAGAGUGAUUAGCCCGUGUUACCCGAACGUGGCUGAGCAGCUGAUGGUGAGCUGACUGUGAACGCAGACGUUCGGUGAUGUUUAGUCUCUGUUAACAGACAGGUGGCUCUUUGGCUCUUGCUUCGCACAGAAAUGAAUAUUCAUGUGAUUUUUGUUUUGUUUCUGACUUUUCUUUUAAUGAUCUCGUCUGGCAUGCUUGCUCUGCGGUUGGCACGGCGCUGGUUUCUAAGGAACGUCUGAAGAGCUUUUAGAAAACCACAUAAGUAAUAGCAGCACACGGUUGAGCCGUUUUCCUCGAAGCAGCAGCCAUGCAGCAGCCAUGCAGCAGCCAUGCAGCAGCAGGCGCGCCGCGCAACCUUAGAGGCGUCUGUUUCUCCAAGGACGGCGUUUCUGUUUUCAUUUGGCUCCAUCAGUUGCACCAUGCAGAAUCGAUAAAGCUGUUAACGGGCACGUGCUCUUGGCUGGAGUGAGGAGAUACCAGAAGGUUGCUCUCAUGCUACACAUCAGCCUGUUUGCGGGUGAGAUUUAAAGAUGACGUAUAGGUCGCUUAAUGCUAAAAUAUGUUAUAGUUUACUGUGGAACUUGUCGGAAUUUCCCCUCCCCCCCCCACCGUUUUCUUUUGUGAGGUGGGGGGGGGUGUUGAAGCACAGCUCGGUUUCUGAAGCCUUAAGUGGUCCCGUGAUGUCCGACUCCAAGAAGCAGACCUUCAGGAUGUGGGGGGCUGCGGAGUUGUCUCUCAGGCCUCCCGAAGGGGAGCUUAGAUGAUACCCACUGGGGAUUCAGCGUACGUGCUGAGCAAGCAAGCCGAGGCAUGGGAGGAGGGAGAGAGGGCUGCUGGGCAUGGAGGGGGGCUGGGUGCUGAGGUGCCAUGGAGAUGUUAGUGUGCUGAGUGGGUGCUGGAGGGAAAAGGGGCUCUGCAAUGUUACUCCUGCUGCACUGCAGAGCUCCUGGCUUUGGUCCACCCUCCGGCUGGAUCUCCGUGUCUUCUGAGUGCAUGCAUUCUCCUGAUCUGGAUGCGCAUAGGAAAAACCAAUAGUUGAUGUUCAGACCUUUUUACGAAGUUCUCCGUCUGAGCAGGGGGCUGCAGAAGUGAGGGGUUUUCUGAGUCUGCUUGGCUCAUCUUGGCUUCUGCGGACUGUCCUGUUUGAACCGCUCUACGUAUGAUGGGCUUCCCCAUUCUACAAAGCUCCAAAACAUGCAGAACCACAGGAAUUCAUACCAGGUCCUGAAGCUGCUCUCCUGACUGUUUGUAUGUUAUGAAGCAUGUGGAAUGAAAGCUGAAGAAUUUUCCUGCUUGUGAUCGAUGAAGUGUAUCUGUUUACCAAUCUGUCUGUUUCCCUUUCAUCUGCAUUUAGCAGUUCUUCCUCAGGCAUGCGAUUCUUCGUCUCAUUUCUGUUAUUUUGCACUCAAUGUGCUACUUGAUAGAGGCUGAGGAUGCAGUUUUACUGUAGGGCUUAGCUUUAGGAAUCCUUGGCUGCCGUACGGCAUGAUUCAGGUUAGCCGGUGGCCACAAGAGCACACGCUCACGUCGUGCCGGGAGCCGAACCUGACAUUUGCUCCCGUCUCUGAAGGUGGCCGCAAAUUAUGUGCAGAGCCAAUGAAAACAAGCCCUUAGCGCGUUCUUCGGUGUCCUGCCCUCACUCCAGUAGCUGCUAUUUUGGCACAAACAGUAUGCUAAGUGUUAAUGAAAAAAGCCCAGGGAGAAAUGCAACCGACUCCCCUUUAAAGGAGUGUGUAAUUUUGAAAGCGAAAGAUCAGACUCACCUGAAAACAAUAGAAGUCUUUGUGACUUGGUUAAUUUGAUUGAUGUGGGGCACAUUUUCUGUUUAAUACACUCUCACACACGCGCACACACACACACACUGCUUUUUAUUGAAGCACACAGUACGUCAAGUGACACGAUCAUUUGGUCAAGACGACUGGAUCUUCAGCCAUACCAACGUCGUCAACCAACUUGAUGCUGCCCUUAAUCCUUUCAGAGCUCCUCUUUAAGCAUCCUGGAGCUACAGUCAUCCAUUAAUAGCCUAUAGUGCCCAAGGGGUAGGAUCUGGGGUGAUUCUGCAGGAUGUUGAAGGUUGAGUCGUGAUUAAUUAUGGCCGUUUGCCAGUAAGCUUCCUCAAAGUUCUGUAUUCCUCUCCCAGGUUAGAUAUUUUGAUUUGACUUUCAGUGCUUUCCUGAAGGUGCAAAACAUCUCCACCUCGCUGCCACGCAUCCUGCCGAACUUGUGUCAGCAGAAAGAGCUUGCCAGUACCAUUGAGAAGAACUUCCUGCCUUGGAUCUGCGGUGUGGGUGAGCCUCUGUCACCUCUGCCCCCGCUGGGCCACCGUAGGUCUGCCGCGGUGACGCUGGUGCUGCCGCGUAAUGGCAGUGGAGACCUUGUGAAUCAGUGCGUUAAUGCUAAAGGUAUGCACGUCACGGAGAGACUCUAAUUUUGGAUGGCAUUCCUCGCUGGUCUGCGUCAAGGGAGAGAGUUUUGAACCUGACCUGGGAUAAGGAGCUUCUUGAAAUGAUCAAUAAUAUGAUUUAAUUAGGAGAUUCUUUAUAGAUUUAAGAUGUUUUUAUGAGAUUUUCCCCCCUUUCAUCUUUUUACCAUUGGGAAAAACAGGCCUGAUUAUCUAGUGCUCUGAGUUGUCCCUCAGCUCUUGAUAUGCUAGACUAUUUUCGUCUUGGAAAACAGGCCUAUUCUUGUUAUGUUGCAAUCGUGCAGAAAAUGCGCAGGCAAAGGAUGGGACAUUCACAGACAGGCACGUUAGUCUCCAUAAGAAGGGUGUCUUGUGCAGAAAUUGAUUUUGCCUGUAUGUGUUUUUUUCCUCUGGUGUUGUGCUUUACCGCGUACUUUGCAUUGAAUGCUCACAUUUGCCGCACUGAGAUGUCUUCCCCGCCCGGCACUGUUUACCGUCACCCUUUAAGGUUUGAUUUGGACCCUGGCACUUCUGGCUUGUGCAGCUUGACAGUCAUGCACCGUGGCAUUUGAGGCUUCCCUGCGAAUUUCCUGACAACGCAGCAGAUUCAGCAAGCGGGCGAUUUCGGGAUCCUCUUGCACAGAGAACCGCAGCAAGGGAAAUCUAGGUUAAGGGCUUGUUGUGCCUUGUCCACCCCCCCCCCCCUUCUCCGUCACCCCUCUACCACGUGGUUCACCGCAACCGCACGAUUGGCAGAGCAUAAUCAUGGGCGUCUUUGGCUUGGGAGAUUAGCCCUGAACCUUGGCCGAGGCCUUUAAACGGGUGAAAGAGGGGUCGCUGUUUGAAUGCCUUCUAUUUACUCCCAUCGAGGAUGUUUGAUUGGUACUUUAUUUGACGGGCUGCUAUCGCUCACAGUGGCAUCCUGUCGAUAGCAGCGGUGUUUGACAGUUAGGAAAAAAUCCGUUUUGUGACACAUUGUAUAUUUUAGCGUGUGUGUUUGUCUAUAAUGCAGAUAAAUUCCAGAGUCCUGUCUAGAUUAUCUCUCUCUCUCUCUCUCUCCCUUUUUUCCUUUUCUCUUGAGUUAACAACCUACAGUAGGUCUGUAGGCCCUCUGACUUUAAACGCUUCACUCUGUUCUUAUAACUGUGUUUUCUAUAAGACGUUGAGGCAUGCGUGUAAUCAUGCAGCGGUCGGCAGAGCACAGAAUGAUCGCAGCAUGUCCCGAGGUGCUUCUUAUGAACUGUCGUGGUUUGAAGUGUGGUUUCAAGUGCGACACCAAACACAUUUCUUUUCCAUUUCCCCCGCCUUCUCGUGCAGCAGAUUCAGCAUCUCGGAUGCAGUGCCGUGGUCAGGCCAGAGCUGCGCGUCAGAGUGAUGCCGUCUGGGGGGGGGGCUGGGGAGCUAUGCUGGACAGCCAGCGCUGCAGAUGGAAGGUGGGAGCACGGUCUCUCUCCUCUUCAUCUAGAUUAACCCUCCCUCCACAUCUCUGCCUGCUUUCUCGCCCUCUCCCACACAUUCCUCUGAAAAGUGGAAACUUCACAGAAAAGCCUCACCCUGUUUGGGCCAUUUCUUACUGUAGAAGAGCGCUGGUCUGCCUCCAUGAUACAGAGGCCUAAGAGUGACCCAGGAGACCAAAAAGAAAGGGCAACUUGGCUUUUAAUACCAUGCUUUUGUCUCCUCCUGUAUUUGGCCUCUUUCUCCUUCUGGUCUUGACUUGCCAAACUGUUCGGUAAUGUUGCAAAAUGACUCUGCAAAACAUGUGAGAGCCUGUCCCAAGUAAGGUGUGAAUGAUCCCCAUAUUCCCGCGACGCUGCGACAGGCAGCUCCCCGUGUGAGUCGGUGCUACGGGUGCUUUAGUGGGCUGGCUGCUUGGAGCUCUGCUGGCUGUUUGGAGCUCUGCUGGCUGUUUGGAGCUCUGCUGGCUGCUUGGAGCUCUGCUGGCUGUUUGGAGCUCUGCUGGCUGUUUGGAGCUCUGCUGGCUGUUUGGAGCUCUGCUGCCUGUUUGGAGCUCUGCUGGCUGCUGCGGACUCCUGCGCGUGGAGAAUCAGAGGAGGCGCUGUCAUAUAAAUAACUGUGCACCUCCACAGACGAUUUUAAUUAGAGAACAAGCUUUAAAUAUCUCAUUUCCUGGGCUUCUGUCUCCGUCACUCUGACUAAAGCCCCCCCACCACCACCGGCCCUUUAUUGCUCCUAAGUUGCCAGUCUUCUGUCUGGCCCCUCCUCUGCGUCCCCAUUGGUCAGGUGGGGUUUUGGUUCCACCCUCUUCUGUAAAGCAGCUUCAGCCUGCCUGCCCUACCAUCCCCCCCCCCCCCCCCCGUUGUGGUUCUUUAGCAUGUAGUUUGUUUUUUCUUCUCUGUAAUUACACGUGUCCCGUUCUGUAUGAGACUAGCAUGUUCAGGAGGUCAGAAGAUCCUCCUGCCUGAUCACUGACACGUGCCACUUUGGUAAACUCAGUAAAUGCCCCACUGGCUUUCACACACGCGGCGGAUCACGGGGGACUGUGAAUAUGCGCCGACCGGUUUGCCGGCACAACCCUCAACAGCUGACUGUCAGGCAUGUGACUGGAUGGCAGAGGUGCUUUGAAGCAGCAGGCUGAGAUACCCAGGCAGAUACCUUAUUCUCUGUCUUUAUUGAAUGUUGCCAGCCCCCCCCACCCCGGUGUUCUGUCUUUGCUUUUACACCUUCUCAGCGACCACGAUUCUCUAGAAAGGAAGUGACAGCGGACUCAAGGGGGGGUCAGCAACCGUGAUGUUGAUGGACGGUUGGAUAUAUUUUUUUUAAUGACAGUCUACGUAAAUUAACUCAUCCAGCUCCCAAAAACUGCAGAGUGAGCAUCUGUCCCAAGGUUGCUUGUGUUACCCACAAGCCCCCUGUACCCUAAUUUCCUCCUGGGCUUCAUGCAUUAUGCGGAAUGUGCUUUAUUAGACAAAGUGUAAAAGUCUGAAACAGUAAUACUCAUGUCUAAUGGGACUGUUUGAUUGAUUUCCCCUCAAGCGCCGUUGUGUGAUCUAGAGGAGCACAGGAGCUCCAUUUGCAUUUAUUUACAUUUGUUUAGUCCCAAGCGAUGUAUUAGUGACUCGGAUAAUGCAUCACGAGUGUCGAAUUGUCACUUGCACCUCACUUUGGGCAAAAGCAUCUGCUAAACAGAUAUACGAAAAUGUAGCUGCUAUUUAUGUCAUGGCACCAUGAGGAUGGGUGUAGAAUGCAGCAGCCCCCAAUGCUGAUGAGGCUUCAGCCCUGCCUGCCUGCCUGCUGGCGGACAUGUCUCGGGGCGGACCGGCAUGUCGCGACCCCGCCUUUGGGGCAGGGAGACGCGUCCCAGCUCUUUCUUGGCCUGCACCAACACGCUGUCCCCUGUGACUCACUUCCUGCUCACUGGCCCUCCGACCAAUAAGGAGAAUGAAUUCCUGUUAACAGUUACUUUGCUGUUACAUGUAUUCGUGGUGUAUUAAUAUGGACAAUUUGGACGUUUAUUUAUUCCCAUUUAAUUUUAUUAUUUAAACAAAGGUCACCGUUUUACUAUUUUGGGUACGUGAUAUUAUUUAAGCAUCGUCAUGGUGAUAUGUGCACGCGCAAUAAUCACAUUGCAUUUGUCAGCGCUGAUUUGUGUCUGUUGACAGCUCGCAGCAACACCACCAAGUUAUUUGACACACACUAUUGGUAGAUAAACUACAGCCAAUGAGAAGUUAUUUUGAGUAAUUUAUUUAAAUAUCAGCAUUACUCCUGGAUAUUUCACAUAUCGUGAUAUCGUUCAGCCCUAAUUACUAUUUUACUUAUACAUAACUUGCAAGGAAAUUAAUUUGUUUGUCAAAGCCCUCAAACUCAACUGUGUGCUAUUUAUCGCAAAUCAGUGCUUCAUUGAAUAAGUUCUAUUGAUCUUUCAGUUGCACAUACAUACUACGUGUUCUUGCCAGUUCUCCUGUAUGGCCUGAGUUGAUGCUUCCCUGGACCCUUAGAGAAUCUAGUUGUGUCUGAUGGAGGUUCUGGUGCCGCUCUAGAGAAACGGGCCCCAAGGUUCAGCAGAUUAUCCCAGGAUCUGGUGAAAGCUUUGACCAGUAUCAAAAGAUCUGGUCUUAUAUUCCAAGGAUUAUCCUCCCAGCUCUGGUCCAGUCUUUGAUCUUUAUCCAGGCUGUCAUAGCGCCCCCUGGAGCCAUGACACGUGUAAAGCAUGUGAAGGCAGGCCUGCAGGCUGCACAAGCUCCCCAUUGAGAGCCUCAUCCCCUGGUCUGCAUGUCCCGGCCCGGCAGCGGGGGUGUCCGCUCUGGGUCUUGUGAUCCUUGGAGCUCCACAGAGCCCCAUUGUUGAGCCACCUUGCCGGUCAGCUGACGGGGCCUGGACAGGAUUCCUCUCCUACUGCAUUCGGUGUGUCGACUCCGGUCCCCGUUACAGAAGGGUUCUGAUCAAGUCUAUUUCUUU